GAUGAACGCUGGCGGCGUGCCUAAUACAUGCAAGUCGAGCGAACGGACGAGAAGCUUGCUUCUCUGAUGUUAGCGGCGGACGGGUGAGUAACACGUGGAUAACCUACCUAUAAGACUGGGAUAACUUCGGGAAACCGGAGCUAAUACCGGAUAAUAUUUUGAACCGCAUGGUUCAAAAGUGAAAGACGGUCUUGCUGUCACUUAUAGAUGGAUCCGCGCUGCAUUAGCUAGUUGGUAAGGUAACGGCUUACCAAGGCAACGAUGCAUAGCCGACCUGAGAGGGUGAUCGGCCACACUGGAACUGAGACACGGUCCAGACUCCUACGGGGGGCAGCAGUAGGGAAUCUUCCGCAAUGGGCGAAAGCCUGACGGAGCAACGCCGCGUGAGUGAUGAAGGUCUUAGGAUCGUAAAACUCUGUUAUUAGGGAAGAACAUAUGUGUAAGUAACUGUGCACAUCUUGACGGUACCUAAUCAGAAAGCCACGGCUAACUACGUG
rnacentral:rRNA from 1 species